GUAAAGUAUGUAAAUUCAAAGCCAAUAUAUAACCAAUUGAGCCAGCCCUGCGAAAUGACUCACUUUAGGUGCCUUCGAAACAGAGUAACCUUUUACAAUUUGAUUUCCUUGUAGAUGCCAGCUCCAUUGAUUUUGGGAGCUGCACAUUUAGAAACAAUUGCUGAUCUUGAUAAUGACCCCUCCCUAUGGCUCUGAAGGAGGUUUGCAAAUUGUCAUUUUGGACUCAGUGUGAAUACAAGUUUGAAUACUCACUUUGAAUUGCAAUUAGAUUAUUAAAAUAAAUGCAUAACAUGUAAGCAUAUUAAUUGACAAUAGGAUAUAUAACUCUGGGUAGCUCAGAAAUCUGCACUGAUCUGAUCAUUGUCCUCUGCCCCUUUUUGGCAAGCUCUCUUGGAAACUAGAUCAUCAUAGGGGGAUUGGUGGGUGCGGCAUCAGAAUUGGGCUAGAAUGUUUAAUGGCAUCAAAUUCUGAUAGGUGGAUAUAUCCCUCCCUGAGAUGGGGACCCAGCUCCCAUCGGCCUCAGAGCACCUUCUCCUCUAAGUGGCGCUUAGAUACACCUUACCAAAGUUUGUCUCUAUGACUUUUCUUUCUCUUUGUGCCAUAAUCUUUUCAUGUUCAGCCAUUGAUUUCUCAGAUAUUUGCCCACACAGAUAAAGAGCCACUGGUCAGGAAUUGCUAUUUCUUUAUAUCAAGAGCUUCCUACCAAGUUUGAAAUAAAUGCAAAUCCUGAUGCUUUUUACAGUGUAAGAACCAAACUCAAGUACUUUCAGCCUUCAUGAGAGUUAAGUCCUGUUAUUUAGAAGUUAACCAGUUGGAAAUUCAUUGCAUAGCAGCCUCUGAUGAAUGAACACAGUCAUUCCAUUUACCCGAUUACAAAUGUGUCCUUCUUCAAAGCUGGACUUUCCACACUAUAGGACUUCUUCCUUAAAAAAGGGAGGAGGAAUGAGCCGAUGUCAAUGUGUGUGCUUCUGCUCAACCCAGGAGCUGAAAAGGGAGGCUCAGUUCUGGGUCCAAGACGUGUCUCUUAAAGUACCCUGCCAUAGCACCUAACCCAAGGCCCUUCCUUUGGCUCGUUUGUUGGAAUAGCAGGUGGCAUCAUGAUCCAGGCCUUUCCUGGACAACGGAGAUGGAUAAUGGUAAGAAGAUUCAGCAGGGAACCUUGAAUGAGUUACAUUAGUCUCAGUGUCCUCAGGCUAAAAUUUUCCCUGUUUGACAUCAAUCCGAAGGUACAUUGCCUGCAGUUUGAAGCAAACUGUAACUGCGUUUGUGUCUGCUUCGCGAAGGCUUUCAGGUUCACCCUUGAUGUUCAGUGUCAGUUUGGUCCAUUGCUUCUAAAGGUUUCUGCUCAGCUCUCUUGGCGGGGGCACAUCUUACCCGUCCACUCUCCCGGCAGGGGGCGCUCCAACUGCCUCUCGCUUUGGGGCACAAACAGCACUGGGUGUCCCUGUGAGACGCAACUUACUGUACUGAAAAGAAGGACUUGUGUUCAACAAAGACUAACAUAAAUGAACUUAGUAGAUGACCACGGAGAAAAUGGAACUUGCAGUGUCUAAAUUAACAAGAGAGUAAUAUCUAGAACACACAAGAAACCUACUCAAAUCGAGAAGAAAAAUACAGAAACACCAAUAGAAAUUGGGCAAAGAAUACAUGUAAGCAUUUGAGGAAAAUGGAAACCCAGAGAAAUUAACAAGUAUUUGAAGAGGUGUUCAAAUUCAUUAGUGAUCAGAGA